CUGAGAAAUACAAACACACAUGGAGACCAUGGGCUGAAGAUCCAUCACUUUAUUUUCAGAAAGAGAUGGCCAAAGGGGACGAGGGGGCAGAGAUACAGAGGCAUGCCAGCAACACAGCAGAAACAAUCCAGUUGGCCAUCUAAAAUCUGUAAAUGAAACACAGUGCCAACUGGCUUUCACCCCCCUUCACCCCCCAUCCCGCCUGCCACAGGUCGCAUUUCACUGUGUAACAGAAAUGAAAAUCCUUAAUCCUGGAGAUAAAAGUAGAUAGCACCUGGUGCUUCACCUUGGCAGGGAGACUGCGAUGGCUCUGAGACAUCCACUGAGUUGUCACUUUUAAUCAUUGCACGCGGGCCCGGCUGGUUUCCCUCGUUGGUGUCGUGAUUUCCAGGCCUUGUCGUGAAGGAGACGGCUAAGCGGCAGUUCAUUUGGGGAACAAUGAAGCACUCUGAAACACUUAGUCCUCCAAAUCUUCCAAGCAGGAGAACAAGGCUCUGGACUCCCCAGAUCUGAGGCACAGAUGAUGCACAGCUGAUCCAUGGAAGGUGGACAGUGAAUCAAGGCCCACUUCCCAGUCCAGCAACUUAGGUCCCCGGGCAAGGAGGAAAUACCACACACGAAACGCCAAGUCCUUUUCCUUGCAGCUCACGAGGUUCCAAAGCACCUUCCACAAACACCUAGAGGGGUCCAGCGCGAGUGAUGGAUCUUACGGUUUCGGCUCCUGGUCUCCAAGAGACAAAGGACUCAGGGUGGCCUGUCUCACUGAGGAAGCUGGAAGUAAGGAUCCUUUUGUGCCAAGUGCCAGAGCGUCCUCACUCUUAACCUUUGACUGUCAUAACCUUCCAGGGUCUGUAUGGAACAUACUUUCACAAGGCACCAGCAGGGCACAGAGCACAGCUCAGAAUUUGAGACGGCCUGGCUGCUCAGAGUCCGAGGAGGGGCUCUGACUUCCACCAUGGAGAAAGAACACAGUGGAGGCCAAGGUCCUCCAGUCAAUCCAGGGUUCCCUCAGCCAGAACUUGCCCUGGACAGUGGACGCCCCUCGGCCCUCUCUGUGUCAACAGCAGUGGAACCAGUGAGACCGCAGCCGAGGUCCUUCAGCCAGUGCUGACGCAGAAAUGACACUGGCGACAGUGCGGGCCAGACUGAAGGUUAUCCAGGGGAGCGAGGGGCUCCUUCACCGGCCACAGGAGCAUCAGCCUCCAAGACAGGUCUCUGGCCAACGUCCCCCAGAGAUUUCCCACUCGGGAUUUGUGUUUUGAGUGGAGAACCAGGAACCACACCACUGGCUCACGCGCACUAAACGAGGAGCAGUGUGACUUCACACACAGACUGCUUGCGCCUAAGCCACAGAGACAAGCUCGGAGUAGGUGAGUUUGCUGCACCCUUACACCCUCCCCUUCUGCCCAAGUCACCCUGGAGCACCACGGCCAGGAGGCCAGCCCAAGCCCCUCGCCCACCCACUGCACCCCA
ensembl:lncRNA